UUAAAUUGGCGCCUCCUCAUAAAAGUGGGGUAUUUUGGGAUUUUUUUUGAAACUAGGGGUAUUUUGGGAAUUUCCUUGAAAAAAUGAGUUAUUUUUAUAAAAAAAAUCGAAAAUGGUCUGACCUUUUUUUCAUCAAAUUUUAUCAUUUAUCAAUUGUUACAAUUACUAAUAAUUAUUAAAUUUAAAAAAAAUACAAAAAGAAAAUCAUUUAUUAAAUAUGUAACCUCCAUCAAUACAUCAAAUAACUUCCUCCAACACAUCAAAUAUACUAAAUAACUUCCUCUAACAUCACUAUAUAUGAUAACUGCAUAUGUAAUAAAAAGAUAAGAAGAUACAAGUUUAGAAUGGAACAAAGAGAGGGAAUAAUGGUUUCAAAACACAAUUGCAUAAAGGAAACAUAUAUUUAUAUAAAUAGAAGGAAACUAUAUAUUUCAAAACUCAAAAAAUAUUUCUUUCUUUCUUUCUCUCUCCUCGCGAAAGUAUGUAGGAAAAAAAAC
rnacentral:lncRNA from 1 species